CCCAUUCAACUAGCUCAGAAUCAUCUUCGAGUUCAUCAUCAAUAAGUUCAAGUUCAUCAUCUUCAUCUAGUUCAUCUGAAUCGGAUCAAUAAUUGUAAGCGCCGUGUAUGUAAAACUUUCUUUAAAAACACAUUGGCUAUUAGUAAUCGACCUAUCGCAACUGUUAUAUCAGAAAAAAAAACCAAUCGGGAACGGUUGACGAAGAACUAAGGGGUAAACAU
rnacentral:misc_RNA from 1 species